rnacentral:rRNA from 1 species
CGAAAGCCUGACGGAGCAAGACCGCGUGAGGGAGGAAGGCUCUUGGGUUGUAAACCUCUUUUCUCAGGGAAGAAGCUCUGACGGUACCUGAGGAAUCAGCCUCGGCUAACUCCGUGCCAGCAGCCGCGGUAAUACGGAGGAGGCAAGCGUUAUCCGGAAUUAUUGGGCGUAAAGCGUCCGCAGGUGGCGAUUCAAGUCUGCUGUCAAAGCACGGGGCUUAACUCCGUAAAGGCAGUGGAAACUGAAUAGCUAGAGUGCCGUAGGGGUAGAGGGAAUUCCCGGUGUAGCGGUGAAAUGCGUAGAUAUUGGGAAGAACACCAGUGGCGAAGGCGCUCUGCUGGACCAAAACUGACGCUGAUGGACGAAAGCUAGGGGAGCG